rfam:Dipodomys ordii contig_37099, whole genome shotgun sequence.
GGGAAGGUGGCUCAGUGGUAGAGCACUUGCCUUGCAUGCAUGAGGCCCUGGGUUUGAAUCCUUACUACCACA